rnacentral:rRNA from 1 species
AGCGAACGUUAGCGGCAGGCUUAACACAUGCAAGUCGCACGAGAAUCCGGCUUCGGCCGGUAGUAAAGUGGCGGACGGGUGAGUAACACGUGGAUAAUCUGCCCUUCGGCGGGGGACAACAGUCCGAAAGGAUUGCUAAUACCGCAUUCGUCGGCGGGGUCUUCGGACCCUGCCGGGAAAGAUGGCCUCUUCAUGAAAGCUAUCACCGAAGGAUGAGUCCGCGUCCCAUCAGCAGUUGGCGGUGUAAGAGACCACCAAGGCGACGACGGGUAGCCGGCCUGAGAGGGCGACCGGCCACACUGGGACGUGAGACACGGCCCAGACUCCUACGGGAGGCAGCAGUGGGGAAUAUUGCGCAAUGGGCGAAAGCCUGACGCAGCGACGCCGCGUGAGGGAUGAAGGCC